UAAUCUAUCUAUUACUGUUAAUCUAUCACUGCUGUCAAUCUAUCUACCACUGCUAAUCUAUCUAUCACUGUCAAUCUAUCUACCACUGUUAAUCUAUCACUGCUAAUCUAUUGCUGUUAAUCUAUUGCUGUUAAUCUAUCUAUCACUGCUAAUCUAUCACUGUCAAUCUAUCUACUGCUGUCAAUCUAUCUACCACUGCUAAUCUAUCACUGCUAAUCUAUCACUGCUAAUCUAUUGCUGCUAAUCUAUUACUGUUAAUCUAUUACUGCUAAUCUAUCUAUCACUGCUAAUCUAUUGCUGUCAAUCUAUCUAUCACUGCC
rnacentral:sRNA from 2 species